rnacentral:rRNA from 1 species
GACGAACGCUGGCGGCGUGCUUAACACAUGCAAGUCGAACGAUGAACUCCAGCUUGCUGGGGGGAUUAGUGGCGAACGGGUGAGUAACACGUGAGUAACCUGCCCUUGACUCUGGGAUAAGCGCUAGAAAUGGCGUCUAAUACCGGAUACGAGCUUCAGCCGCAUGGCUAGGAGUUGGAAAGAAUUUUGGUCAAGGAUGGACUCGCGGCCUAUCAGCUAGUUGGUGAGGUAAUGGCUCACCAAGGCGACGACGGGUAGCCGGCCUGAGAGGGUGACCGGCCACACUGGGACUGAGACACGGCCCAGACUCCUACGGGAGGCAGCAGUGGGGAAUAUUGCACAAUGGGCGAAAGCCUGAUGCAGCAACGCCGCGUGAGGGAUGACGGCCUUCGGGUUGUAAACCUCUUUUAGUAGGGAAGAAGCGAAAGUGACGGUACCUGCAGAAAAAGCACCGGCUAACUACGUGCCAGCCGCCGCCGUAACAC